UUCUUCACCAUGGGAUUGUGAGCAUCAGUGUUGAGCAAGAUCACAGAGUAAGCAAGAACAUAAGCUGUGUCCGCACUAGUAAAGACCUUCGGAUUACAUUUGCAGUAACGCUCAGCAAAUUUCUCCAUGAUGCGAUCAAUCUUCUGAGCCUCACCAGGUAACCUGAAGCCCUGUAGUAAGACUCUGAUAGCCUCAUCAAACUCCGUGCCUUGAAAGUCAAAAGAAUCCACAUAGGCAUGCAUUACUUUGAGGGAUAACUCCUCCCUCUCUCCCAAAUAAUCACCUAUAAGAGUCUUAUUCAAACCAGAUGCAUUCUUAAGAAAAGCUGCUAUCUCCUCCGGUGAAUUGCCCACUUUAUUUGCAUUGAUAAGAAAUUCAAUACCUUUCUUGGGUUUCCGAUUAAAAAGAGAUAUACCUUC
rnacentral:misc_RNA from 1 species